rnacentral:rRNA from 1 species
AUUGAACGCUGGCGGCAGGCCUAACACAUGCAAGUCGAACGAGUGGCGGACGGGUGAGUAAUGUCUGGGAAACUGCCUGAUGGAGGGGGAUAACUACUGGAAACGGUAGCUAAUACCGCAUAACAUCAGAUGUGACCAGAUGGGAUUAGCAAGUUGGUGGGGUAACGGCUCACCAAGGGGAAGAACCCGAGCUGGUCUGAGAGGAUGACCAGCCACACUGGAACUGAGACACGGUCCAGACUCCUACGGGAGUCAGCAGUGGGGAAUAUUGCACAAUGGGCGCAAGCCUGAUACAGGCAUGCCGCGUGUAUGAAGAAGGCCUUCGGGUUUUAAAGUACUUUCAGCGGGGAGGCGUUACACGCAGAAGAAGCACCGGCUAACUCCGUGCCAGCAGCCGCGGUAAUAC